GUGUAGACUAGGCCGGGGCAGUAGUCGUGCCUUGUAACCACAAAUCGGCUUUAGGGUGGGGCUGAAGUAGCGGAGAGGAUUGAACUCUUGGUACUAUUCCCGAAUCGUACGGCGAAACUUUGUCCCAAUUGGCCGAUAAUCUUGAGAACCAGGUCAGAUCCUGACGGAAGCAGCCUUAAUCAUUGUUGUUGGCGCUUUUGGGGUAACGAAGUGGAGGAAAGUUUGGGGCUCAAUAGUAUUGGUGUUUGAUUCCAUCUGCUACGGUCUACAU
rnacentral:SRP_RNA from 1 species